GACGAACGCUGGCGGCGUGCUUAACACAUGCAAGUCGAGCGGUAAGGCCCUUUCGGGGGUACACGAGCGGCGAACGGGUGAGUAACACGUGGGUGACCUGCCCUCAGCUCUGGGAUAAGCCUGGGAAACUGGGUCUAAUACCGGAUAUGACUUCGCAUCGCGUGGUGUGGGGUGGAAAGUUUUUCGGCUGGGGAUGGGCCCGGCGGCCUAUCAGCUUGUUGGUGGGGUGAUGGCCUACCAAGGCGACGACGGGUAGCCGGCCUGAGAGGGCGACCGGCCACACUGGGACUGAGACACGGCCCAGACUCCUACGGGAGGGCAGCAGUGGGGAAUAUUGCGCAAUGGGCGGAAGCCUGACGCAGCGACGCCGCGUGGGGGAUGACGGCCUC
rnacentral:rRNA from 1 species